CCGGGGGAGUCCGUGGAGUCUGGAGACAAUGUCAUGCCGUGCGUUUUUAGUGGCACUGACAGGAAGAAAGCAGAGGCAGAAACGCUGGGCACGGCUGGCCCGAUCUUCUCAGAGACUCAAAGUGGGGAGUGAUCCCAGCUCAGCACUAUUUCAGUACCACAUUGCAAGUCACAGCAAGAGAAUUCCAAGGAGCAGCACAGCAGAUACAAACACAGGCAUCGUGGAGACUCGAGCUUGAAUCCUGCUUCUUCACCUUUUUGAAUGGGAUCACGGGCAAGUUAUGGUGCCUCAACUUCAUUCAUUAAAAUGGGAAUAAUACAAGUGUUGCCAGCAUAGGCUUUUUGCAGUUUAAAUAAAAUGUAGCACACCGUAGUCCCAACGUACGGUGCACAAA